GGCAGCAUAACGUUAAAUGUUGUAAAUAAUGUGGCUAUUUUUAAUACGUCUUGUUCUUGUAUCAUUGAACGAAAAAUGUCUUCCCAAUUGUAAAUAAGACUAAACGAGAAAUAUACAAGAUAUAAGAGAAAUAUUUCCAACUCGACUUGAAGACCAGGGGUGCGUUUCCCGAAGUUGCCCAAGUUGGCUAACGAUCUUUUGGAAAGCUCACCUCAGAUUAGUCCAACAGCACAGGGGAUUGUUCAUUCCCAGGGUUGUAUCUCGAGUCUCCACUUGUCCGUGUACUCCAGUAGAUGGCGACAAGUGACUUCUUAAUGAGUGAGUCAUUGAAUCGAUUCGUUCAAACGCUCGGAUUCAUUUAGUAAGGCCAUAUUUGUGUGUUGCUGGGAGACGCGUCGCUCCAGUUGAUUCUGCGUUGACUUCAUUUGGAUCUCUGUUCGGUGACAGAGCAAAAGUAGACAAUGUAACUGGCAAUAUUGUGUCUAAAAUCACAGGUUCAGGAGGCCUGAGGGAUGACAUACACUGAGAUGAAGUGUGCAGAAGAAGGACCUCGUUUCUGUAUCCCAUUAACAUCACCUCGUAAAAUGCUCCUACACGACAUGAGCAAACUGACACCCAUAUGUUAGCUGGCUCAGCUUUCUGCAGGCCUCACUGAGCCAUUGGAUUUCAUCAAAAAUAUCUUAAUUUGUGUUCUGAAGAUGAACAAAGGUCUUACGGGUGUGGAACGACAUGAGGACAUGCUUGGAGGGAAUACAGAGAAAAUUGUUUGCCUUAAACUAAAAAUAAAUUUGGUGGCAGAGCACACCACAAGGCUGAAGACCGCUGGCUGGGUACGUCUGAAUGUGUAAUUUGUAUCAUGUUCACAAUAGGACUUCAGUUGUUCAUGUAUCAUAUAUAUGAUAUGUCUGUUUUUAGCACAUCACUUUUUUUCUUUCUACUUCUGCUUUCUGUUUCUAACUCCUAUCUCACCAUUGCCAUCUCUCUCUUUUCACUUUAACAAAAGCAGAUUUCUUCACCUCUGCUCAUCUUGUUUCUUAUAUUUGAUAGGAUCUUUCGUUUCUCCUGGCAGAUCUUUCACUGUUCACAUAAAGUUCUGGCAGAGCUCUAACAGACCACAGGGCAUGUUUGCGAAUCAUUUUAAUCAUGAGGUGUAUGAUUUAUUUUGGCAUUCCUUCUCCUUAUUCCAUCCAGCAGAGGCUUUAGUAGAGUCUGUGUAUCUUGGUUACGUUUGCUUAGCAUUAAUUAUGCUUCUAGGAAUAUAUACCCAAACAUAUACAUACUCAUACUUAUAAAUAUAUACAUAAAAUGUAUGUAUCAUGUGUGUAUCACACACACACACACACACACACACACAC